GGUCCCGUAGUGUAGCGGUUAUCACGUCGCCCUGUCACGGCGAAGAUAGCGGGUUCGAUUCCCGUCGGGACCG
rnacentral:tRNA from 1 species